GAUGAACGCUGGCGGCGUGCCUAAUACAUGCAAGUCGAGCGAACGGACGCGAAGCUUGCUUCUCUGAUGUUAGCGGCGGACGGGUGAGUAACACGUGGAUAACCUACCUAUAAGACUGGGAUAACUUCGGGAAACCGGCGCUAAUCCCGGAUAAUAUUUUGAACCGCAUGGUUCAAAAGUGAAAGACGGUCUUGCUGUCACUUAUAGAUGGAUCUGGGCUGCAUUAGCUAGUUGGUAAGGUAACGGCUUACCAAGGCAACGAUGCAUAGCCGACCUGAGAGGGUGAUCGGCCACACUGGAACUGAGACACGGACCAGGCUCCUGCGGGAGGCAGCAGAAGGGAAUCGGCCGCAAUGGGCGAAAGCCUGACGGAGCAACGCCGCGUGAGUUAUAAAGGUCUUCGGAUCGUAAUACUCUGUUAUGAGGGAAGAACAUAUGUGUAAGGAACUGUGCACAUCUUGACGGUACCUAGUCAGAAAGCCACGGCUAACUACGUG
rnacentral:rRNA from 1 species